rnacentral:lncRNA from 1 species
AUGGAUGCCGCAGGGCUUAGACCUAGCCUUAAAUGUGAAUCCAUCCCUGGAGUUGGAGUGUUAGGUAUCUCUUUUCUCUUUUGGCUCCUUUCCUUCUUCCAUUUUUUUUUCCCCUCCCUCCUUCUCCACUUUAUUCUUCCCCUUCCUUCCCAUUCCACUUCUCUCUUCACAAGAGCUGCAGGAUUUGGGUUCCAGUCUGAGAUGAGUUGGAAGGUGGGGAGGAGCCCUGCUGUCAGAACUCAGUUCCUGAGGCAGAUGGGAGCACUUUUUAAGAAGAUGGAAUUUUCUAACAACCAGAGCUAUCUCAAAAGUCAUAAGCUUCCUGCCCCUGGAAAUGUGCAAGCCGUGUCUGUCUGCAGAGCUGAAAUUCCUGCGUUCUCAGGAGGCUGGGCAAAUGCUAAGAUGGAGGUUCUGAAAUCUGAUUACUGCACCAAUCACUGUGGGAGAGAGUUAGUGAUAUAUCUACUCCCAGACCCGGAACUACACAGAAUCAAGAUCUAUUAAGGUGGGGCCCCAGAAUUUACAUUGUUUAACCCUCUCCAGGUGAAUCUCCUGAACAUAUUGCUCUACAUUCCCUUUUAAUCUGAGAUCCUAAUAAUAC